rnacentral:rRNA from 1 species
GAUCAUGGCUCAGAUUGAACGCUGGCGGCAUGCCUUACACAUGCAAGUCGAACGGCAGCACGGGAGCUUGCUCCUGGUGGCGAGUGGCGAACGGGUGAGUAAUGCAUCGGAACGUACCCAGGAGUGGGGGAUAACGUAGCGAAAGUUACGCUAAUACCGCAUAUUCUGUGAGCAGGAAAGCGGGGGAUCGCAAGACCUCGCGCUCUUGGAGCGGCCGAUGUCGGAUUAG